UGGAUUAGCGGCGAACGGGUGAGGAACACGUGAAGAAUCUGCCUUCCACUUUGGGAUAACACCGGGAAACCGGUGCUAAUACCGAAUAUUGAAACAUAAGUGGCAUCACUGAGUUUUGAAAGAAUUUCGGUGGAGGAUGACUUCGCGGCCUAUCAGCUAGUUGGCGGGGUAAUGGCCCACCAAGGCAACGACGGGUAGCCGGCCUGAGAGGGUGAACGGCCACACUGGGACUGAGACACGGCCCAGACUCC
rnacentral:rRNA from 1 species